AAGUAUGAAGCGAUUUAAUUGCAAUUAGUUUCGACCUAAUAUUAGAUAUAAUUUAUAUCCUUACUUA
rnacentral:tRNA from 1 species